rnacentral:piRNA from 1 species
UCGAUAAUCUCGUCCAGGCUGUAGCAAU